CCGCGCUGGGCGGCGGCGAGGUCGCGCAGCAGGGGGGCGCUGGCCGAGGUGGGUUCGAGGCCCUUGGCGCGGACC
rnacentral:tRNA from 1 species